CGCGGCUGGAUCACGUGGUAGCGGGCGUGGGGGGAUUCGAACCCCCGAUCUUCUGGUUCGAAGCCAGAUGCCCUGUCC
rnacentral:tRNA from 1 species